rnacentral:lncRNA from 12 species
UUGCUGCCCAUCUGCUUUGUUUCCACAUAGUAAUUACAAAUUCAACCCACACAGAGGUUAUUUGUCACUCACCAAGUGUUUCCAGAGGACAUAGCUGCAGUACUAUGUUUUGAUUCUGUCUCUGACAAUGAGA